rnacentral:rRNA from 1 species
GUGGGGAAUAUUGGACAAUGGGCGCAAGCCUGAUCCAGCCAUGCCGCGUGUGUGAAGAAGGCCUUUUGGUUGUAAAGCACUUUAAGCGAGGAGGAGGCUACUGAGAUUAAUACUCUUGGAUAGUGGACGUUACUCGCAGAAUAAGCACCGGCUAACUCUGUGCCAGCAGCCGCGGUAAUACAGAGGGUGCGAGCGUUAAUCGGAUUUACUGGGCGUAAAGCGUGCGUAGGCGGCUUUUUAAGUCGGAUGUGAAAUCCCUGAGCUUAACUUAGGAAUUGCAUUCGAUACUGGGAAGCUAGAGUAUGGGAGAGGAUGGUAGAAUUCCAGGUGUAGCGGUGAAAUGCGUAGAGAUCUGGAGGAAUACCGAUGGCGAAGGCAGCCAUCUGGCCUAAUACUGACACUGAGGUGCGAAAGCAUGGGGAGCAAACAGGAUUAGAUACCCCUGUAGUCC